CAGCAGCCGCGGUAAUACGUAGGUGGCAAGCGUUGUCCGGAAUUAUUGGGCGUAAAGAGCUCGUAGGCGGUUUGUCGCGUCUGCUGUGAAAACGCGAGGCUCAACCUCGCGCCUGCAGUGGGUACGGGCAGACUAGAGUGUGGUAGGGGAGAUUGGAAUUCCUGGUGUAGCGGUGGAAUGCGCAGAUAUCAGGAGGAACACCGAUGGCGAAGGCAGAUCUCUGGGCCAUUACUGACGCUGAGGAGCGAAAGCGUGGGGAGCGAACAGGAUUAGAUACCCGUGUAGUCCCUGUCUCUUAUAC
rnacentral:rRNA from 1 species